UGCCAGCCGUAAACUUUGAUAGAUUAUUACACCCACUAUCCGCCCGGGUACUACGAGCACCAGCUUAAAACCCAAAGGACUUGGCGGUGCUUUAGAUCCCCCUAGAGGAGCCUGUUCUAGAACCGAUACUCCCCGUUAAACCUCACCCUCCUUUGUUCCUUUCCGCCUAUAUACCGCCGUCGUCAGCUUACCCUGUGAAGGUCUAAUAGUAAGCGAAAUUGGUUUAACCCAAAACGCCAGGUCGAGGUGUAGCGGAUAAGAGGGGAAGAAAUGGGCUACAUUUCCUAACCCAGGAAAUACGGAUUAUGCACUGAAACACACAUUUGAAGGAGGAUUUAGCAGUAAGUAGAAAAUAGAGUUCCUACUGAAACUGCCCCUGAUAGAUGU
rnacentral:rRNA from 1 species